GACGAACGCUGGCGGCGUGCUUAACACAUGCAAGUCGAACGCUGAAGCUCAGCUUUUGUUGGGUGGAUGAGUGGCGAACGGGUGAGUAACACGUGAGUAACCUGCCUCCUUCUUUGGGAUAACGCCCGGAAACGGGUGCUAAUACUGGAUAUUCACUGGUCUUCGCAUGGGGGUUGGUGGAAAGGGUUUUUCUGGUGGGGGAUGGGCUCGCGGCCUAUCAGCUUGUUGGUGGGGUGAUGGCCUACCAAGGCUUUGACGGGUAGCCGGCCUGAGAGGGUGACCGGUAGCAUUGGGACUGAGAUACGGCCCAGACUCCGACGGGAGGCAGCAGUGGGGAAUAUUGCGCAAUGGGCGCAAGCCUGAUGCAGCGACGCCGCGUGAGGGAUGGAGGCCUUCGGGUUGGGAACCUCUUUCGCUCAUGGUCAAGCCGCAACAAUGGUUGUGGUGAGGGUAGUGGGUAAAGAAGCGCCGGCUAACUACGUG
rnacentral:rRNA from 1 species